rnacentral:rRNA from 1 species
GCUUGCACCGCUGACGAGUGGCGAACGGGUGAGUAAUGCAUCGGAAUGUACCGUGUAAUGGGGGAUAGCUCGGCGAAAGCCGGAUUAAUACCGCAUACGCCCUGAGGGGGAAAGUGGGGGACCGUAAGGCCUCACGUUAUACGAGCAGCCGAUGUCUGAUUAGCUAGUUGGUGGGGUAAAGGCUCACCAAGGCAACGAUCAGUAGCGGGUCUGAGAGGAUGAUCCGCCACACUGGGACUGAGACACGGCCCAGACUCCUACGGGAGGCAGCAGUGGGGAAUUUUGGACAAUGGGCGCAAGCCUGAUCCAGCCAUGCCGCGUGUCUGAAGAAGGCCUUCGGGUUGUAAAGGACUUUUGUCCGGGAGCAAAUCCCAGUGGUUAAUACCUACUGGGGCUGAGAGUACCGGAAGAAUAAGCACCGGCUAACUACGUGCCAGCAGCCGCGGUAAUACGUAGGGUGCAAGCGUUAAUCGGAAUUACUGGGCGUAAAGCGUGCGCAGGCGGUUGUGCAAGUCUGAUGUGAAAGCCCCGGGCUUAACCUGGGAACGGCAUUGGAGACUGCACGACUAGAGUGCGUCAGAGGGGGGUAGAAUUCCGCGUGUAGCAGUG